rnacentral:SRP_RNA from 2 species
GCUGGGUGUGGUGGCGGGCGCCUGUAAUCCCAGCUACUCAGGAGGCUGAGGCAGGAGAAUUGCUUGAACCCAGGAGGCGGAGUUUGCAGUGAGCCGAGAUCGCACCACUGCACUCCAGCCUGGGCGACAGAGCAAGACUCUGUCUCAA